GAUUAACGUUGGCGGCGUGCCUAAUACAUGCAAGUCGAGAGGGGUUAAGCCCUCGGCAAACGGGUGAGUAACGCGUGGGUAUCUACCUUAUACUCAGGAAUAACUCUUUGAAAGAGGAGAUAAUGCCUGAUGGUCCCGCAAGGGUAAAGAUUUAUCGGUAUAAGAGGAGCCUGCGUCCUAUCAGCUAGUUGGCGGGGUAAUAGCCCACCAAGGCUAUGAUGGGUACCGGGUGUGAGAGCAUGGCCCGGCUCACUGGGACUGAGACACUGCCCAGACACCUACGGGUGGCUGCAGUCGAGAAUCUUCGGCAAUGGGCGAAAGCCUGACCGAGCGACGCCGCGUGCGGGAUGAAGGCC
rnacentral:rRNA from 1 species